rnacentral:rRNA from 1 species
UGAAUACGAGAUGCUACGGCGUCGAAGCAGUCUAUGUCAUACUUCCAAGAAAAGCUUGCACUGUCAUAAACAAAUAAUGCCUGUACCAUAACCGACACAGGUGGGUAGGUAGAGUAUACUAAGGGGCGCGAGAUAACUCUCUCUAAGGAACUCGGCAAAAUGACUCCGUAACUUCGGGAGAAGGAGUGCCUUAUUUUUAAGGUUGCAAUAACAAGAUCCAAGCAACUGUUUACCAAAAACACAGGUCUCCGCUAAGUCGUAAGACGAUGUAUGGGGGCUGACGCCUGCCCAGUGCCAGAAGGUUAAAGAAGUUGGUUAGCAUCCGCGAAGCUGAUAACUGAAGCCCUGGUGAACGGCGGCCGUAACAAUAACGGUCCUAAGGUAGCGAAAUUCCUUGUCGGGUAAGUUCCGACCCGCACGAAAGGCGUAAUGAUUUGGAUACUGUCUCGGAGAGGGGCUCGGUGAAAUAGACUUGUCUGUGAAGAUGCGGACUACCUGCACCAGGACAGAAAGACCCUAUGAAGCUUUACUGUAACCUGAAAUUGAAAUUGGACUUUACUUGCGCAGUAUAGGUGGGAGGCGUUGAGAAUAUUCUUGCGGGAUUAUUGGAGCCAUCAGUGAGAUACCACUCUUGUAAUGUUAAAUUUCUAACUUUGUAUCAUUAUCUGGUCAAAGAACAGUUUCAGGCGGGCAGUUUGACUGGGGCGGUCGCCUCCUAAACGGUAACGGAGGCGCACAAAGGUUUCCUCUGAACGGGUAGAAAUCGUAUCUAGAGUGUAAAGGCAUAAGGAAGCUUGACUGUGAGACCUACAAGUCGAGCAGGGACGAAAGUCGGUCUUAGUGAUCUGACGGUGCUGAGUGGAAAGGCCGUCACUCAACGGAUAAAAGUUACUCUAGGAUAACAGGCUGAUCUCCCCCAAGAGUUCACAUCGACGGGGAGGUUUGGCACCUCGAUGUCGGCUCAUCGCAUCCUGGGGCGGUAGUACGUCCCAAGGGUUGGGCUUUCGCCCAUGAAAGCGGUACGCGAGCUGGGUUCAGAACGUCGUGAGACAGUUCGGUCCAUAUCCGGUGUAGGCGUUAGAAUAUUGAGAGGAGCCUUCUUUAGUACGAGAGGACCGAGAAGGACAUACCUCUGGUGUACCAGUUAUCGUGCCAACGGUAAACGCUGGGUAGCUAUGUGUGGAGUGGAUAACCGCUGAAAGCAUCUAAGUGGGAAGCCCACCUCAAGAUAAG